rnacentral:rRNA from 1 species
AAUGAACGUUGGCGGCAUGGAUUAGGCAUGCAAGUCGAGCGAGAAGGGUUUUGAAGCUUGCUUUAGAACCCGGACAGCGGCGAAAGGGAGAGUAACGCGUAGUUAUGUACCCUAGGGUCCGGAAUAGCCACGGGAAACUGUGGGUAAUGCCGGAUAACAUCCCCGGAUCAAAGGUGUGAUUCCGCCCUAGGAGCAGACUGCGUCCUACUAGCUUGUUGGUGGGGUAAUGGCCCACCAAGGCAAUGAUGGGUAGCGGGUGUGAGAGCAUGACCCGUCUCACUGGGACUGAGACACUGCCCAGACACCUACGGGUGGCAG